UGGGGAAUCUUGGACAAUGGGCGCAAGCCUGAUCCAGCCAUGCCGCGUGGAUGAUGAAGGCCUUAGGGUUGUAAAAUCCUUUCGUGGGGGACGAUAAUGACGGUACCCCAAGAAGAAGCUCCGGCUAACUUCGUGCCAGCAGCCGCGGUAAUACGAAGGGGGCUAGCGUUGUUCGGAUUUACUGGGCGUAAAGCGCGUGUAGGCGGGUCGUUAAGUUGGGGGUGAAAUCCCAAGGCUCAACCUCGGAACUGCCUUCAAAACUGGCGACCUGGACUCAAGUAGAGGCAAGUGGAAUUGCGAGUGUAGAGGUGAAAUUCGUAGAUAUUCGCAGGAACACCAGUGGCGAAGGCGACUUGCUGGACUUGUAGUGACGCUGAGACGCGAAAGCGUGGGGAGCAAACAGGAUUAGAUACCCUCGUAGUCCCUGAGCGGGCUGGCAAGGCGCAU
rnacentral:rRNA from 1 species